rnacentral:RNase_P_RNA from 14 species
ACCUGCCCACAAAAGGAGCUCCGUGCUCAGAAUUACGCAGGUGGGAAAUUCGGUGGUUCACGCUGUCCAACAUUACCCUUUCUCUUGAGAGAUCCUGGCGAGGAAUCGCUGGGUGCGGCCAUAAGAAAUCAGCCCCCUAAAAAGGGCAUGGGAGGCUGCACGGACAGUUGGUCCUUGGAAAGAGGGCUAUUGAGUGCAAUAUACAGACUGGGGGCUUUGGCCCCUGGAA